GACACGCGGUAGCGUGUCAGGCCAAGUUCAAGCAAAGGAACUGGCUAGCCAGCGCAGAGUGUAAUAUUACACGAACCACUUGGUGCCACUUUUGACCCUUCUAUAACUCAAAACAUCUUUAACGUAAACACAUAAAACUACGUGUGUUUAAUUAUAUCCAUAAGGACAUCUAGAAACCCAAAUUUCAUGAAGCUAGCUCAAACGGUUAUGAAGAUAUGAAGGUCAAAAAGUCGUAAAUUUUAAGACUGACUGACUGACUAGGGGGGUCCCCAUACAAAAAAACCAUUUUUUAUUGGGACUGA